AGAACACAGAGGGGUUGAAAGCAGAAUUCCCAGGGGAACUCGCUCUCUUUGGUUCCGGUCAGCGUGCAGUGCAAACUCUCCCCUGCCCAGCCACGAGCUGGGUGGGGGAGGGGAAGCCCCCAUGGCCUGAAAGGUAGUCCGAAAGCCCCAAGGGUGGUGAAAGGACUGGAACCGGGCUGGCCCCUGCAGAUGGAAGGGUGGAAGAAAUCUGGGAUGUCUCCAUUUCCCCCCCCCCAGAGUUCCUCUCCCGAGAGGGAGAGAGAAAGCCGCAAGGAAGGAGGAGCGGGGGGAGCUGCUGCAAGGUGCCCAGUUGUGUGGGAGUUGCUGGAUGUCCAGGCAUCGAGCCAUCCCUGGGAGUUCAGACUUUUAACCCUUCCUUGAGAAAUGAAGGCUUUGUGAAUUUUCCUUUCCCCUCCUCGUUUUGAAAGAGAGGAAGAGGGACACCUUGGACCCUGGGAUGGGAUGUUGGAAGGAGGAAUUCUGGAUGGGAGGGGGACAAGGAGUGGCUUUUGGCUGGACUUUUCCGUGUUAGCCACAACCUGAACCAAAUCUUCUCCUUCAAGAGGGACUGUGUUUUGGGAGGAUGCCAGUGAGUCAAGAGACCUGCUUCAGCUGGGAAAAAGACAAAAGUGGAGUGAACAGAGAAAAGGGCAUCCUUGAAAGGAAAAAUCCUAAAGGCAGUCUGACCAUCCAUGCAUUGGUGGUGAGAGCACUGUGCAUGGAAAGGAGAAGGGUCACCAUGGCAAACUUUUUUCUCUGGGCGGUGCCAUGUGUGACAUGGAAACACAGGAUGUGAAGCUGUGUUUCUUGGGGGGUCUGUGGCACAGGAGAGACUCUGUUCCCUUGAUGGACUGAGUAUCGGUUGUCUGGAGGGUGGAAACCUGAUUGGGGUCCAGAUUGUGUCUCACUGUGGUUUGUUGGAGUUGGGUGGUGGGGGGGGAGGAAAGUUUUGCAAGGUUUUCAUUUGGAUCUUUGUGUGGUUUUUUUUUCCCUUCUUUAGUUUUCUCUUUUCUUUUGUAGUGGUAGUUUAAUAAAGUUUUUUUUUCCUGUUAUCA
rnacentral:lncRNA from 1 species